rnacentral:rRNA from 1 species
GACGGAGGGCGCUAGCGUUGUUCGGAAUCACUGGGCGUAAAGGGCGCGUAGGCGGCUUCAGGUGUCGGAUGUGAAAGCCCGGGGCUCAACUCCGGAGGUGCAUCCGAAACUCUGAGGCUAGAGGCCGGAAGAGGAGGGUGGAAUACCCAGUGUGGAGGUGAAAUUCGUAGAUAUUGGGUGGAACACCGGUGGCGAAAGCGGCUCUCUGGUCCGGUCCUGACGCUGAUGCACGAAGGCCAGGGGAGCAAACGGG